rnacentral:rRNA from 1 species
AUUGAACGCUGGCGGCAUGCCUUACACAUGCAAGUCGAACGGUAACAGGUCUUCGGAUGCUGACGAGUGGCGAACGGGUGAGUAAUACAUCGGAACGUGCCCGAUCGUGGGGGAUAACGGAGCGAAAGCUUUGCUAAUACCGCAUACGAUCUACGGAUGAAAGCAGGGGACCGCAAGGCCUUGCGCGGACGGAGCGGCCGAUGGCAGAUUAGGUAGUUGGUGGGAUAAAAGCUUACCAAGCCGACGAUCUGUAGCUGGUCUGAGAGGACGACCAGCCACACUGGGACUGAGACACGGCCCAGACUCCUACGGGAGGCAGCAGUGGGGAAUUUUGGACAAUGGGCGCAAGCCUGAUCCAGCCAUGCCGCGUGCAGGAUGAAGGCCUUCGGGUUGUAAACUGCUUUUGUACGGUAACGAAAAGACUCUUUCUAAUAAAGAGGGUCCAUGACGGUACCGUAAGAAUAAGACACCGGCUAACUACGUAGCCAGCAGCCGAC